UUUUUCGUCAGUGUGUGAGUGAGUUGACAUCAAAAGAAAUGUCAAACGCGUUUCAACUUGAAAUUUCUAAGAGCGUCAUCGGAAGAGCCUCGAUUAUUUUCAAUCGGAUUUUCCGGAUUCUGAUAGAAAAAUCAAAGUUUAUGGGCGGAUUUGUUUAUUGCCAAGUGCCCCACGACCGGGAACGCUGCCGUUUGUAUAUGGACCGUGGGCCGGAUCUGUCCUGCGUGCGUUGCUGGAAUUUGUUCAUACCUGGCCUACUAGUGCGAGUUACUCAACAAGCAGACGAACCCGGUCCAGCGAACAUGCGUUGAUUUGCUCCCAUUCAACUUGGCCAAUUGUUAUCGCUGGUACCGGCAUGAGUGGCGGACGGACUUCUCCGUCGGACAAAGAGAUCAACGGAACUUGUCCUUCUGCAUUUCCAGCGGAUUCUUUAUUGGAAAACAGGUAGCCCAAACAGACGCGCGGAAAUGCACAAGCCGGCAGCUGGACUGUUGCCGCCACCACCACCAACCAUUGUCAUCCCGCCGGAGUAGUGUUCCGUACUGCCGGACCACAAUAUAUUGUAAAAAUUACAAAUUUUAAGUAAUUAAAACACGGGAUUCAUGGUGGGGA
rnacentral:lncRNA from 1 species